GCGUAGGGUAUGUAGGUGGUGAAAUAAAAAGAAAAUGAAAUACUAGAUUAUCAUCUUUUCUGUUUUCUCGUAAUUUCACUUGAAUCUCAGAUGGGACGAUGGUACUUUUUAAGGAACAGUUAAAUGUGUUGAUAUAAAAAGGACCGACGGUAGCGAAAGCGAUUUUCCUUUCAAGUAUUGAGCUAAGGUACGAAGGCAGGGGAGCAAAGAGGAUUAGAUACCCUCGUAGUCCGUGAGUAAACGCUGAGUUUUCAAUGUAGGGAUUUAAUUGAAAGAUUUUUGAGCCAUUUCUUUAAAAACGAAAUUAAAAUUUUUCAAGUAAAAUAUAGAAACCUUGGCGUUCAAGUAACGCGUAAAAUUCUCCGCUGGGAAGUACGGCCGCAGGUUGAAACUCAAAAGAAUUGAGGUGACUUGAACGAGG
rnacentral:rRNA from 1 species